rnacentral:lncRNA from 1 species
UUGGAGGUUUUCAUUUCCUAUUAUAUUCUUUUAUAUGAAAACAUUGUAGUUACUUUGACUAAUGCCAUUUUGAUUAAUCUUUUAAAAAUAUUAUAGACCCUUUGGAGAACAGAAUAUUCCCAGUUUACUGAUUAUCAGAUGAUAUUUAGAUAUUUAAUUUCUGUUUAAUUUUUAUAUAUUGGGAAUGAUGAAUAGAUGAUAGAUUACUGUAAAUCUGUUCUUUCUUCUAAAAUGGAAACAUCUUAAAAUAUUUCUAAAUAAUUAUAAAUAUGUAAUUCUGAAUACAUUUUCCUGACAUUAAGGGGUGUUUUAAAGAUGUGUAGAUGAGAAACUCAAGAUUUGCCAAAUUUCUGUUUUGCAGGAGGUCUUAUUCCAGGAUUGGUAAUUAUCAUUUAAUGGAGAGAAGCUUUAAGGGUAAUCCAAGAUGGAUCAGAAAUUCAGGAUCUUCACGGUUAACGUGGUGGCAGUCAGAAAGAAAUGCAAUAGAACUGAUUUAAGCUCUAGAUCAUGAUAGCCUGUGAUGUGGUUAUGAUCUGUUAUUGUUUGCGAUUUUCUGUACCAUCAUAUAGUAAUGACAGUUUGUUAUGUAGUGGAGAUGACUGCACCAGACCUAUGUAAAAAUUUAGUUUCUACUAAAAAUAUUCUUCUUGAAGCUUAUGAGACUAUUUUAAAGUAAAUAAUUUCCUAAAGAAAUAGGCCUCUGGUGAAACACCAGGGAAUAAAGGAAAUAAAUUGAGAAAAAUGCCACAAGCUUAUUUUUAUUGAUCCCAUUCCCAUAGGUUUAAAUGUAAUUUUUAAUUAGAGUGUAUCACAGAAAAUACCCUUUUCAAUUUAUUUUAAAAGAUUUGAUCAUAUUUUUGCCCUUUUAACUUAUAUCUAGAGCAACACAUACUGUGAAAAGUUUAGAAAAGUUAAAUCUGAAGUCUGCCCUUGACGUGACUAGUCAAUUAUUUCUUAAAUAAAUGAUAAUAAAAACUUAAAAAACAGGUAAACAGAGCUGGCUUUUCUGUCUCCAAAUUGAGUAUAUUGA